UACGUAGGGGGCGAGCGUUAUCCGGAUUUACUGGGCGUAAAGAGCGCGUAGGCGGUUCCGUAAGUUGGUUGUGAAAGUUCGAGGCUCAACCUCGAAACUGCGUCCAAUACUGCGGGGCUUGAGUGCAAGAGAGGCAAGUGGAAUUUGCAGUGUAGUAGUGAAAUGCGUAGAUAUUGCAAGGAACACCAGUGGCGAAGGCGGCUUGCUAGCUUGUAACUGACGCUGAGGCGCGAAAGCUAGGGGAGCGAACGGG
rnacentral:rRNA from 1 species